GCGGGCGCCGGCGCUGCCUCCCGCGCCGCCUGGCCCGGAUGGGUGGGCGGCGCUCGGCUUCCUGGGCCGCGCGCCCCGGCUGCCUCCUCCCGCCGACUCCGCCCCCGGCCCCCAGGUCACUCCUCUCUCCAAGUUGUCGUCCCGCUCUCCCCGGGCUUCCGGGCCCCCCACGACCCUCGCUCGGCCGCCCCGCGAGUGUCCCGCCGGCCGGCCGCCCGCGGUCCCCAGGUCGUGCGCCCGGCUCCUCCCCGCCCGCCUGGCCCCGCCCGUGGCGGGAAGCAGCUCUGCCCAGCGCCUACUGUCUGUGGUGGGAGCACCUUGGCUUCAGACAUCUCCACAUUCCUAGUGCCCAGAACAGGGCCUGGUACCUACAGAGUGCUCACUGGAAACUGGCCGCCCUCCAGUCCCUGAAGGAGGGUCUGGCAGGCCCCAUGGAGGCUGGAGGAACUGAGAUGGAACCCAGCAGCUGCUCCCAGCUGGGAGCCCACCUGAGUGGCAUCCUGGCCCCAGGAUCAAAGGCUCAGGUCUGGGUGAGGGGAUCCCUCCCCACCUCCUUUCCCCCCCAGGAAGGCUUCUGGCCAGGGAUCCUGGGGAGGGUGUGGGGAAGCCCUGGUGAGCCAAGUGCAUAUUGUGGGCCUGGGUUUGGAUGUCGGGGUUCUGGUCCUUCCCUUCCACCUUUCCCACUAGCCAGAUCCUAGAACUUCCUUGUGGUUCAGUUUUCUUGUCUCUGCAAUGGGCACAACCUGUUGGGCACAGCCUUGGGAAGCUGAAGAUUCCCAGGCUGGCAGCCUGAUCUCAGGUGCCAGCUCUCCCACCCUGGGGAAGUCUCUGGGCUCCACCAUGCUCCUGCCCUCAGCUAGCUCAACCUCCAGCCCAAACCACAUUGGACUUGGGCUUGUCCAGCUACUCAUCUGGUCUGAAGGUUCCUGAGGGUGAGGCCUGGCUUGGUCUAGGAGGGGACCCGUCCACAUGGACUUAGCUGCAGCUUCUGUGGAAACAGCCAGCAUCGUAUCAGGCCGUCCCCUCUAGCCAGGGAUCCAGGUUCCCCUCUAGCCUGACCCAGGAGACUUCUGGUUCUGACCUGGCCUGGGCUGCUGUACCUCUUGACUGGACGACCGGUGUGUUUUAGGGCCUCUCAUGUCACGCGGGGCUGUUGAGUCAUAGAAGGCUGGAAGCCCCAGAGCUUGGGUCUGAAGCUGUCCUUGGAAAGAUGUUGUGAUCAGAUGCGGUUUCCAUCAGUGAAUGCUGGGAUCACAGGGAUUGUGGAAUUUUUAGAAAUUGCAGGUGUGGGAUCUGGGGAUAUGGCUCAGUUGGUAGAGUGUUGGCCUCACAUGCACAAGUCCCUGGGUUCAAUCCCCAGCCCCACAAAAACAAAACAAAAAGAAAUGCAGGUGCGGAAAGGCCUCAGAGGUCACCAGCUGACCCCUCCCACGUCCUUUCCUAACCAAGGGGCCUGUGGCUUACCUGGCUCUACACCAGGUUGUGUCUCCUCCUGGGGGGAGUCCUGGCACUCAUCUGGCCCAUGCAGAAUCCCUGGGAGCCCAGCAGUGUGUGUAGUCCUGGGAGCCCUGUGGACAUAGUCCACCCAAAUGGCAAGAGAGGACCUGGCAUCAACCACUGUGAGGAUAGAGCUGUAGCGGGCCAUGGAGCUGGUCUGAGGCCAUCUUGCCCAAGAUGGUUCACCCCCUGCCUCGGUGUCCCCAUGGUAAGAUGGACCAUGGGGGCUGGGAGGCUUAAACAGAUUAAUAUGGAAAAUGCUUAGAAAAGUGCCUGGGCCAUUUCUGGUUUCCUUUAUUAUCCAGCCCACCGAAAGCCCCGAGUGGAAGGAGCCCUCACCCCACUCCUCCUAGGUCGCCCUUGAGAUGAGUCUGCUGCCUCCCACAGUCCUUAGCACAUCCUCCAGUGAGCUUUGUCUUUGUCCCCAUUUUACAGAUGAGAUUGCUGCUACUGGCCAGGGCCCCUUGCUGGCUGAGUGGUAGAGGGCAGAUGUCAGCCCCAAAGCCCACAGUUGCUUUCCUUUCCGUGGUGGCAACGCCUGGAAACUCCAUUAGUACUGGCCCUCGCCCCUGCUUCAACCUGUGGCCACUUGGAGGGGCCCCGCGGUCUUGGCACGGAUUUUCCUGCACCAACAAAUGUGUGACAGAGAGGUGUCUGUGGGGAGGCAGGGUGCAGGCGGGGCAGCGGCUGCUGUGAGGUCGGCAGUGGCGGGGGCAGCAUCCCAUCUGAGACACUUGUACAAAUUGCUAGUUUGUGGUCAGCCUGGCACUGCGCUGUGUGGCCUCUGCCCAGAGCAGCUGGGCACCAGUGUGCUCUCUGGGAUUCUAGAACUCCUUUGCCCUCGCCCCCAGCCAAAGGACUUUCCAGGAACCCUCAGGUGGGGCUGAGGCACAAGGCCUCCCAUCAGUAGCCCCGGGAUAGUGUGUGCCCUUGCCCCCGGCUCCAGAGGACCAAAGUCAGGGCUGACAGAGGCUGGAGGAGCAGGCUCCGGGGCCGGGAGUGCCGUGCGCCUGGUGGCCAGCUCCUCUCUAGACUGUUGGUGCAGACCCCAGGUUCUGCAUGUGUGACCUCCAGAGCUGGCCCAAGCCUCAGUUCCUGUCUUCCCAGGGGAGUUGAGACUUCAUGGAGGGGCUGCAGGUGUGGCCUUGGGCCAGGCUGGCCUCCUGGGUCCUGCGCCCUGGCUAUGAGGCUGCAGAGACUGAGGGAGCGGGGGAGCGCUCCCCGUUGCUCUUGGCAUCUGAACAGGUGAGCAGUAUGCCGUGGUUACCAAAAGACUAACUGCUGCCCUGGCCUAACGGUGGCCAGAGUGUGGCUUCCAUGACAGGAAGUCCCAUGGUCUUGGCAUGGUGGUGGGGGUCACCCUUCAGGAGAAGAGCUGCUUCCCCUGAGCACCCUGCCCAGUCCAACUCCAGGCCUGCCUGAAGCCACACAGGGCCUUCCAGGCGGUGGGGACAAGAGCCCCUCCUCUGGUCAGAAACUGCUGGGACCCUCAGACUGCUAUUAGCCCAUGUCCUGCCCUGCCCCAACCCUAGGGUGCCAGCAUGAGCUGAGGACCGGGCCUGCCUUGCACUGGGGCACUCCAACAAGACUGGCCUGGUGGGCAGCAAUGGGUGGACAAGGACAGGAGGGCAGAGGGUCUGAGGUUGAAGGGAUUCCCUGUCCCUUAACUGCCUGGGUCCUUUGGCUCAGGGACUCUUCUGAAGGGCCUUUAGGCCCAGUGGGUCCCUCCCACCUUUUCAAACAAGAGACCUCAGGGCCAGAAAGGGAAGCACGUCCAGUAGUCACACGGCAGGCCAGCACCAGCACAGCAGCUGGAACCAGCCCCAACUCUAAGCCCACCAUGCUGUCUCCAAGCCAACCUGAAGCCCUUCAGGGACAGUAGGACAGUAUGAUUGAGAUGUGACCCUGAGACUCCAGGUGGGCACCUUCCAACUGCGGUUACUUUGGAGGUGUCGGAGCAUUCAGGGAAGGGCAGCAGGAUGAGAUCACACGGCCCUGUUCAGGUGGGACACAGGCACGAGUCACACUGUGGAGAUCUGAUAGGGAAGAGGCCCCAGUGGGGACGUGUCUCCUGUCACCCUGCACCACCAGCGUGGACCUGGCUGUUCUCUGUGGACAGGGCUCAGCAGCCAAGUUCAGACCAGGAAAACACUGGAUUCGACAAAGUAAAACUGGUUUCUUAAAUAAAUGUAGGAUCUCCCAGGUCCUUA